GAUUUGGAAUGCCAUAUGAAACUUCAUCUUGCCAACUGGAACAUGGUGUGUAUGAAGAAAGAAUUUGGAGGCUUGGGAAUCCCAAACCUCCAAGAUGUCAACUUAUGUUUACUAGGUUCCUGGGUGAAGAGAUACUAUGAGAGUGAAGGAAAACCAUGGAAAAUGAUCUUUGAUCACAAGUACAUGUCUGGUAAGAUUAAUAUUUUUGCUCCUAACCUAUCCCCCAGUGCAUCCAGAUUCUGGAAGGGGCUGAAGACCACUAUCCAAGCUCUUAAACUUGGUUAUAGGUGGAAAGUUGGGUCGGGUGAAAAAGUUAGGUUUUGGGAAGACACCUGGUUUGGUACCUCCCCACUGGCAGUGCAAUUCUGGCCUAUCUACUCCAUUUGUAAUGAACAAAUCAAUAGUGUC
rnacentral:rRNA from 1 species